UACAGAGGUCUCAAGCGUUGUUCGGAUUCAUUGGGCGUAAAGGGUGUGUAGGUGGCGCGCUAAGUCGGGUGUGAAAUUUCGGAGCUUAACUCCGAAACUGCAUUCGAUACUGGCGUGCUUGAGGACUGGAGAGGAGACUGGAAUUCAUGGUGUAGCAGUGAAAUGCGCAGAUAUCAGGAGGAACACCGGUGGCGAAGGCGGUGGUCUGGGCCGGCACUGACGCUGAGGAGCGAAAGCGUGGGGAGCAAACAGG
rnacentral:rRNA from 1 species